GGAGCGGUAGUUCAGUUGGUUAGAAUACCGGCCUGUCACGCCGGGGGGGCGCGGGUUCGAGUCCCGUCCGCUCCG
rnacentral:tRNA from 1 species